rnacentral:rRNA from 1 species
UUAGAGUUUGAUCCUGGCUCAGGACGAACUCUGGCGGCGUGCCUAACACAUGCAAGUCGAGCGAGUGGAGUUCUUCGGAACAAAGCUAGCGGCGGACGGGUGAGUAACACGUGGGCAACCUGCCUCAUAGAGGGGAAUAGCCUCCCGAAAGGGAGAUUAAUACCGCAUAAGAUUGUAGCUUCGCAUGAAGUAGCAAUUAAAGGAGCAAUCCGCUAUGAGAUGGGCCCGCGGCGCAUUAGCUAGUUGGUGAGGUAACGGCUCACCAAGGCGACGAUGCGUAGCCGACCUGAGAGGGUGAUCGGCCACAUUGGGACUGAGACACGGCCCAGACUCCUACGGGAGGCAGCAGUGGGGAAUAUUGCACAAUGGGGGAAACCCUGAUGCAGCAACGCCGCGUGAGUGAUGACGGCCUUCGGGUUGUAAAGCUCUGUCUUCAGGGACGAUAAUGACGGUACCUGAGGAGGAAGCCACGGCUAACUACGUGCCAGCAGCCGCGGUAAUACGUAGGUGGCGAGCGUUGUCCGGAUUUACUGGGCGUAAAGGGAGCGUAGGCGGACUUUUAAGUGAGAUGUGAAAAUACCCGGGCUCAACUUGGGUGCUGCAUUUCAGACUGGAAGUCUAGAGUGGAGGAGAGGAGAAUGGAUUUCCUAGUGUAGCGGAGAAAUGCGUAGAGAUUAAGAAGAACACCAAUGGCGAAGGCGAUUCUCUGGACUGAAACUGACCCUGAGGCUCCAAAGCGUGGGGAGCAAACAGGAAUAAAUACCCUGGUAGUCCACGCCGGUAAACGAUGAAUACUAGGUGUAGGGGUUGUCAUGACCUCUGUGCCGCCGCUAACGCAUUAAGUAUUCCGCCUGGGGAGUACGGUCGCAAGAUUAAAACUCAAAGGAAUUGACGGGGGCCCGCACAAGCAGCGGAGCAUGUGGUUUAAUUCGAAGCAACGCGAAGAACCUUACCUAGACUUGACAUCUCCUGCAUUACCCUUAAUCGGGGAAGUUCCUUCCGGAACAGGAAGACAGGUGGUGCAUGGUUGUCGUCAGCCCGUGUCGUGAGAUGUUGGGUUAAGUCCCGCAACGAGCGCAACCCUUAUUGUUAGUUGCUACCAUUUAGUUGAGCACUCUAGCGAGACUGCCCGGGUUAACCGGGAGGAAGGUGGGGAUGACGUCAAAUCAUCAUGCCCCUUAUGUCUAGGGCUACACACGUGCUACAAUGGCAAGUACAAAGAGAAGCAAGACCGCGAGGUGGAGCAAAACUCAAAAACUUGUCUCAGUUCGGAUUGUAGGCUGAAACUCGCCUACAUGAAGCUGGAGUUGCUAGUAAUCGCGAAUCAGCAUGUCGCGGUGAAUACGUUCCCGGGCCUUGCACACACCGCCCGUCA